AGGAUGAACGCUGGCGGCGUGCCUAACACAUGCAAGUCGAACGUCCUGUCUCGCAAGAGGCAGGGAGUGGCGGACGGGUGAGUACCACGUGGGCUAUCUACCGUGAGGUGAGGAAUACCGGCGAGAAAUCGCCGACAAGACCGCAUAGCCUCGGUGCAAGUCGAGGAAAGCUCUCUCGAGAGAGGGAGCGCCACACGAGGAGCCUGCGCCCGAUUAGCUAGCUGGUGGAGUAAUGGUUCACCAGGGCGACGAUCGGUAGCUGGUCUGAGAGGACGAUCAGCCACACUGGGAUUGAGAACGGCCCAGACUCCUACGGGGGCAGCAGUGAGGAAUUUUCGUCAAUGGGGCAACCCUGAACGAGCAACGCCGCGUGCAGGAAGAAGGUUUUCGGAUCGUAAACUGCUUUUCUCGGGGAAGAGAACGGACGGUACCCGAGGAAUCAGCCCCGGCUAACUACGUGCCAGCAGCCGC
rnacentral:rRNA from 1 species